UCCUACGGGGCGCAGCAGUGAGGAAUAUUGGUCAAUGGUCGGGAGACUGAACCAGCCAAGCCGCGUGAGGGAGGAAGGUACAAAGUAUCGUAAACCUCUUUUGUCAGGGAACAAAGACUGGGACGCGUCCCCGGAUGAGUGUACCUGAAGAAAAAGCAUCGGCUAACUUCGUGCCAGCAGCCGCGGUAAUACGGAGGAUGCGAGCGUUAUCCGGAUUUAUUGGGUUUAAAGGGUGCGCAGGCGGUCUGUUAAGUCAGCGGUCAAAGCCCGGGGCUCAACCCCGGCCCGCCG
rnacentral:rRNA from 1 species